UACGUAGAAGACUAGUGUUAUUCAUCUUUAAUAGGUUUAAAGGGUACCUAGACGGUAUAAGUUAGUCUUAAACAAGAUACAAUUAUACUAGAGAUUAUAUAUAAAGGAGGCGAGUAUUUAUGGAAGUAGAGUUGUAUAUUCUUUGAUACCUUGAACGGACUAGAUAACGGCGAAAGACAACCUCUUAUCCAAUAAACUGACGUUGAGGGACGA
rnacentral:rRNA from 1 species